UGUGUACGACACGAUUCACUUAUACACUCUCAACUAUGACAUCUUAGCAUCGACGGAAGGCAGCGAUCGCAAAGCAAUUCAUAACAAGUGUUUUUUUUUGUUGUUGCGAAUAUAACGUGUUUUGCUACUUUUUGUUGAAAAUACGUCAAUAGUACGUGAGAUAGAGGAGUCCAGAGUCCAGAGAACAAAUCCAGAUUAUACAAUUAGUACACAAAAUAGUUUAGUUUUAGCUGAUUCUACUGUUAGAAAGGCCAACGAUUUUCAUGCCGCGGGAAAUCAAAACCGGAAGGCUCGCCGAAAAAAUCGGUCCAGUUUACUAAUGGGAGGAAACGUGACUAUCCCGAGAGUCACAUUCCGUCAAAGGAAUUCGGGAGCAGUACCAUCAACAUCUCUAAUGAGAAACCUAGCAAUUCGGCCGGUUCUGAUAGCUUAAUUCAAGCACUGCGGCAAGAGGUAUCGGAGAGCUACAGAAAGCUCCAGGAAGCUGAAAUCCAAAUUGGCGAGCCACGAUUUUCCCUAGGCUUUGAAUAGAAAGAAAACCUAAUACGCUGCAAUGAAUAAAUAUAUACAUUAAGCUAAAAUACAAUAGCAAUAAACUAAUUUAGACAAAUUUAUAA